UUCCAGACUCCUACGGGAGGCAGCAGUGGGGAAUAUUGCACAAUGGGGGAAACCCUGAUGCAGCGACGCCGCGUGAGUGAAGAAGUAUUUCGGUAUGUAAAGCUCUAUCAGCAGGGACGAAGAUGACGGUACCUGCAGAAGAAGCCCCGGCUAACUACGUGCCAGCAGCCGCGGUAAUACGUAGGGGGCAAGCGUUAUCCGGAUUUACUGGGUGUAAAGGGAGCGUAGACGGCAGGGCAAGCCAGAAGUGAAAACGCAGAGCUUAACUUUGCGACUGCUUUUGGAACUGCCCAGCUAGAGUACAGGAGAGGUAAGUGGAAUUCCUAGUGUAGCGGUGAAAUGCGUAGAUAUUAGGAGGAACACCGGCGGCGAAGGCGGCCUGCUGGACCGUAACUGGCGUUGAGGCUCGAAAGCGUGGGGAGCAAACAGGAUUAGAUACCCCUGUAA
rnacentral:rRNA from 1 species